UUGACCGGCCGUCGUGCCUCGCGCGGGAGGAUGGACGACGCUCACCGGGGCGUCUGCGGCGGAGAUGGCUUCUGCCGCGUGUCGAGGUGGAGCAGCAGAGGACGGGAAGGCAAGAAGGCAGGAUGGGUACGCUGUGCACCAGGGCCGCCUUCGUCCUCCACCUCCUCCAAAAGCGCGCGCUCGCCGCGGGUACUGGCGGUGGCACGGCGGUCCUCGCCCUUGGGUGCGCGGACGCGUCGGGGAUCGAGGAAGCUCUCCUCCCUCGCGGCUGGAGGCGCUCGGGAUCGAGCGAGUGGGCGAGGGGAUCGGGGCCCCUGGUGGCUGCCUGCUUGGCGAUUGCACGAGAUGCUGGGCUGGCCGACUCGAUCUCCUCGACCCAGGGCCCGUGCUCGUCAGCGCCUGCCCCAUCGCGCAUGACUUCUCUGAUCCAGCGCGCAGUGAGGGCGCGGCCGCUGCCAGUCUCGCCGCCGCCCUGUCACGGAUCGCCACGCCCAUCUCCUCUGAUCUGAACACCUCUCCUACAUCCCCUGUUGCGAUCAUCCCUUGCUUAACGAGAAAAAAAAUCCAAUGCCUACACACAUGUAUUCUCCCUCGCAAACUAUACAGUUCCUACAAGCCAUGGCGACAUUCACCUGCAACUAUUUGGACAAGGACUGGGAGGAGUGGACCAUGGCUGCACCGAGGUCCACCCACUAGCGGCCGGCCACCAUGGCUGCAACGAGGAUUCCCUCACCAAGCCUCGCCGGCGUUCUGGAUCACCAAGGUACUUCUACUUAUUUGUCUCUACAAGAUUGUUGCAUAUGUUUUUUCUGCUUUUCCACUUAAUGGUGUUAACCUUCUUUUAGGUACUUCCUGCUCCAGGAUUUUCUUGUUGAGAAAACACAAAAAUAUAAAUAUGAAUAUAUGCCCAUGAAGCUGCUCUGGUUUGUCUUUUAGAGUUUAGUCCCAUUUACUCGUGUCGUUCUACAAUAAUAACAUAAUUGAUAUCAAUUAGACUUCUUUGAGUUUACUGAAAUUUAAUGGUUUGCCAUGGAAUAUGAAAUUUGACAAUGACACCUGCUGAACUAAAAAUAAUCUAGCGAGCAAUAGUAUAUAAUGAAUAGUUAUUACCGUAUCGGCAUCACAUUGCUCUAUGGAUGAAUAACAUGACAAUAAACUGGCAAAAUGGAAAGGCUUUGUUUAGUGUGGGUACCAAGCAGGAAAGUAGUUAACGGAGAUAGACUAUUUGACAGUUGCACAACUGGAGUGAGAUACUAUUUGUUUUCUUGUAUAGUGAAGAUGGCCUAUUUUGUGGUGUAAUAUAACUAUGGUAGCUCUCUGGAGUGAGAAUGCCGAAGCCCUAAAAAAAGCCAUCAGCACGGAGUUCCUGCCAUUAAGGAAAAAAACUAGCAGAGAAACAGCUCGGGAAAUCGUAAGUUUAUCUUGCUUUUUGAAUGUGCAGCCUGUAACCAGAGAAGCUUGUUCUAAUUAUAGUAUGCUUAUUUUCCCUGAGCUGUUUCUCUGCUAGCUAUUGUUCUCAAGCAACUAACAAACUAUGUAUAGAAGAAGUCUUAGUAGGGAGCUAUUUUGAAACAAGAUGAGGAAACCCUCAAGGAUUUAAACAGUAAAAUACGAACCUGCACAUGAUCAUAUAAUGUACGGAUCACAGGCUGGCCAAAGCCUUCUUUCAAGUCUCCUAACAUUGUCUGCUUAAUUUUCACUACCUGCAAGUACAACUAGCUAGAAAUUUGGGUAUGCUGCUAUGUGCCUUGAGUUUGUAAGACAAGUUCUCUUUGCUUCGAGGAGAGUUUGACCACUCAUAUCUCUCUUUUUCUUGCAACCUGCACUUAGUAGGUUGCUUUUUCUAUGAUAUAUAUUGUUUCAUUCUGGUUGCUGAAUAUGAUAGUCGUAGCCCGUCAGAAAAAUAUGUCAGCCGAUUGAUUCUUCGUAAAAGGUAUAGUGACUGUUGAAAAGUUUACCUGAUCUUCCAUUUAUAUUUUUCAAAAGACAGUCCUAGAGAUGUUGCUUUAUUUUUCUGCUUAUUGCAUUUAUUGGAGCACCUGCAAUGGGAAAAUUGAAUGUUUGAAUGUUCCUCUUGCUGUUGACCACACUACAGUUGAUUAUAUCUCAUUGAGACCUGAAUCAUCUUCCAUGGUUAUUCAACAUUGAAGCUGCUUGCAUUGAUCCACAAUACAUCUUGACUUCAGCGAAAAAUGAGGUUCUGUACACACUAUUUUCAGAAGCUUGUGUGGCAGCAACAAUAUUUGUGCCACGACAUGUAAUCGAAACAGAGGGAAAAACUUUGUAGAGAUCGAAGUUUCACUGUUACAAACACAAUAAAGGUUUCAUGGUGGCAGUGCCUUCUUCUACAUGAUGGGAAUUCGACGGCAUUUUGUUGUUUUGUUGUUAAAUACCAACUGGGCAUGUCGUUUAUUCACAGAUCAACUAAUAUGACCAUCUCUUGCAGACAAAACGCUCGGGGAAAGUCCCAGCCGUGCACCUGUGAUCGCUGGAACGACAUACUGUUUUAGGAAUGCAAUACAGACUGGUCAGGAGGUUUGUGUCUAUAGGAUUGAAUUACAUGAUAUGUCAAAAUGGUGGUCUUUAUUAUGCAAUUUAACUGAUCUCUUGUUGAACCCCUCCUUUUCCAGAAAAAAACUAUUAUUUAAUCUUUGAAGUUUAA